UACGGGGGGUGCGAAGGCGUUGUCCGGAAUCACUGGGCGUAAAGGGCGCGUAGGCGGCCGAUUUAAGUCGGGGGUGAAAGCCUGUGGCUCAACCACAGAAUUGCCUUCGAUACUGGUUGGCUUGAGACCGGAAGAGGACAGCGGAACUGCGAGUGUAGAGGUGAAAAUGCGCAGAUAUCAGGAGGAACACCGAUUGCGAAGGCAGCUCGCUGGGACGUCACUGACGCUGAGACGGCGAAAGCGUGGGGAGCAAACAGG
rnacentral:rRNA from 1 species